rnacentral:lncRNA from 1 species
GGGGCCUCGGUGACAUCAAUUAACAUAUGUAAGAUGAACAUUGGCUUGGUCCAGAAAGGUGGGGCCUCAGUGACAUCAAUCAACAUAUGCAAGAUGAACAUUGGCUUGGUCCAGAAAGGCGGGACUUCGGUCCAGAAAGGCGGGACAACUUGAAGCCAAGACAGGAAGCAGGAAAGGGGCUUCCAGGUCACAGAUGUGGUGGUUCUUUAUUCUCAUAAAUGAUUUCAAAACAUUAUGCACUUGGGGGAUUUUAUAAUGGAACAUCGCGGUGUCCUAUUAAAGCACAAAGAGGCAAAGCAGAAGCAGCAGACAGGACGUCAAAGAACCAGUGCGUGGCUGCGCCGGGCCCCAGGGCUUCCCACACGGGUUACUGUCAUCCUUCCGAAUCACUGGACUUGAAGCCCAGCAUGUUGCUGAGUUUUGCUCCAGAGGCGAGUGGACAAAUGUGUCCUGCACCCCCACCCUCCCGACCAGGCCUUAGAGGACCGGGCUGGGAGUAUGGGCAGCGUCAGACUCAUUCCCCAUGAGAGGUGAAAUGAGAGACUCACUGACUUGCCAGGGGCGAAAGGCUUCAAGGCCAAGAGGGAGAAAGAAUCUGUAGGAAGGUCUGAGCACUUGCCAUUUGUUAUUUAAGUGACAAAGGUAAUUAAUGCAUGCUGGCGGGAAGCAAUGCACAAAAUGUGAAGGUGAGUGGAGACCCUCCCCAGAGCCCCCAC